rnacentral:rRNA from 1 species
UACGAAGGGGGCUAGCGUUGUUCGGAAUUACUGGGCGUAAAGGGCGCGUAGGCGGUUCGAUAAGUCCCGUGUGAAAUCCCUCGGCUCAACCUCGGAACUGCCUCUGAUACAGCAAGUCUUGAGUCCGGAAGAGGUGGGUGGAAUUCCUAGUGUAGAGGUGAAAUUCGUAGAUAUUAGGAAGAACACCAGUGGCGAAGGCGGCCCACUGGUCCGGUACUGACGCUGAGGUGCGAAAGCGUGGGGAGCAAACAGG